rnacentral:rRNA from 1 species
UGGGGAAUUUUGGACAAUGGGCGAAAGCCUGAUCCAGCAAUGCCGCGUGUGUGAAGAAGGCCUUCGGGUUGUAAAGCACUUUUGUCCGGAAAGAAAUCCUUGGCUCUAAUACAGUCGGGGGAUGACGGUACCGGAAGAAUAAGCACCGGCUAACUACGUGCCAGCAGCCGCGGUAAUACGUAGGGUGCAAGCGUUAAUCGGAAUUACUGGGCGUAAAGCGUGCGCAGGCGGUUUGCUAAGACCGAUGUGAAAUCCCCGGGCUCAACCUGGGAACUGCAUUGGUGACUGGCAGGCUAGAGUAUGGCAGAGGGGGGUAGAAUUCCACGUGUAGCAGUGAAAUGCGUAGAGAUGUGGAGGAAUACCGAUGGCGAAGGCAGCCCCCUGGGCCAAUACUGACGCUCAUGCACGAAAGCGUGGGGAGCAAACAGGAUUAGAUACCCUGGUAGUCCCACGCCCUAAACGAUGUCACUAGUUGUUGGGGAUUCAUUUCCUUAGUAACGUAGCUAACGCGUGAAGUUGACCGCCUGGGGAGUACGGUCGCAAGAUUAAAACUCAAAGGAAUUGACGGGGUCAUAGCUGUUUCCU